CUAUGCUGUAAACGGUGGGCGCUAGGUGUGGGGACCUUCCACGGUUUCUGUGCCGUAGCUAACGCUUUAAGCGCCCCGCCUGGGGAGUACGGCCGCAAGGCUAAAACUCAAAGGAAUUGACGGGGGCCCGCACAAGCGGCGGAGCAUGUGGAUUAAUUCGAUGCAACGCGAAGAACCUUACCUGGGCUUGACAUAUACGGGAUCGCUGCAGAGAUGUGGUUUCCCUUGUGGCUCGUAUACAGGUGGUGCAUGGUUGU
rnacentral:rRNA from 1 species